CCCUUAGAUGUCCGGGGCUGCACGCGCGCUACAAUGGUCGGAGCAGAAUGAAAAGAGACGGCUCCGCGAGGCGGGAGCGUCCUUCGGGGCCUCCCGUUCUUAAUGGUUGACCGUUCCCCGGGUCGACGGGCCCGGGAGAUCGGCUGGAAUCUCGAUCGUGAUCGGGACAGAGUCUUGUAAUUGUUACUCUCAAACGAGGAAUUCCUAGUAGGCGCGAGUCAUGACCUCGCGUCGACUGCGUCCCUGCCCUUUGUACACACCGCCCGUCGCUACUACCGAUUGAGUGGUCCGGUGAGGCUUUGGGAUCUGAGCGGAAAGAGCGUUUCGCUGUUUCUGCUCGGAAAACUCAGUCGAACCUUAUCAUUUAGAGGAAGGAGAAGUCGUAACA
rnacentral:rRNA from 1 species